rnacentral:rRNA from 1 species
UACGUAGGGUGCGAGCGUUGUCCGGAAUUACUGGGCGUAAAGAGCUCGUAGGUGGUUUGUCGCGUUGUUCGUGAAAACUCACAGCUCAACUGUGGGCGUGCGGCGAUACGGGCAGACUGGAGUACUGCAGGGGAGACUGGAAUUCCUGUGUAGCGGUGGAAUGCGCAGAUAUCAGGAGGAACACCGAUGGCGAAGGCAGGUCUCUGGGCCAUAACUGACGCUGAGAAGCGAAAGCAUGGGGAGCGAACAGG